rnacentral:misc_RNA from 1 species
CUCUUAAAUGAAUUAGCGGGGUCCUCUUUGCUGGUCCUCGACAUGUGAUAAGAUGUUUCCAUGUCUUGGUUUCUGGCUCUGUUGCUUUUGGGACCCGCUUCUAACCGUCUCGAUGAGACAACGUUUGAGCACGUCUCCCGACGCUCUCAACCUCACGAACCCUUGACCUCAAAUCGGGUGAGACUACCCGCUGAACUUAA